rnacentral:misc_RNA from 1 species
CGACGAUGCCGAUGCUUGCUUGGCAUGCUAUAGCCCCUCCUUGGUAGCAUGCUAUUGACAAGUGUCCGUCCCGAUUGCUAGGUGUUUGUUGGAUCGAUGUGGUGUGGCCCGUUGCAGUUUCGUGUUGGUUUCUUGAUCGUCGUAGCAUGCUCCCUUCUAUGUGCAGUAACUUGCCUUGUGACAAGGUAUCCUGCGGAUCGAUGUGACACGGGUAGGGGAAAAUCGGGAUUGGAGUUAUGAGACGUUGACGCAGCUUGGACGAAGUUCGCCUUCGUGUUGGUUUGCUGAUCGUCGAAGCAUUCUCCCGUCUUUGUGUAGUAACCUAUGUCGUGACAAGGUAUCCUAUGGAUCGAUGUGGCACAGGUAGGGGAAAAUCUGGAUUGGAGUUUUGAGACGUUCAUGCGGCUUGGACGGAGUUUGCUUUCGUGUCGUACGGCAUCAUGGUUUUUGUGUUUUUCGUACCGUUCGGUGCAUUCCGGGAGUUUCUUCGUGCUCGUAGUUGUUUGCUUGGCAUUCGUGCUGGGGUUGUGGCUACUUGUGCGGGUUGUUUCAGGGAAUGAAUAUCGUAAAGGUGCAUGAGUGGUGUUUGGUGUGUUGCUGGUGGUUGGAUGACUGCAUUCGCAGCAACGUCCACCGGGGCAUACCUCUUCAUUUACGGCGAACGGUUGUUUCACAACCGGGAGCAUUUGUUGGGUUUUCCUGUGCUGCGUACCUACUUUAGGGCAUGCAAUCGGUUGGUUAAUGUGGAUAUUCACUCCAUGCCACUUGCGUGGCGUGGGAUGAACUAGAACUGGUCCCUCUAUGAUCCUUGUCUUUGACGCAUUGUGUUUUUGGCAUGGCCCAUUGGGCGUGGCUUGGUUUCUUGGAUACGGAACCUUAUGUGGGCAUGGGGUCGCCUAGGUGACCCUGCUUUUGCCCUCGUCAAGCGUUCUUGCUUCUAAAAAACAACAUGCGGUCGUGCAUCGACUUGUCGAU